GAACAAUGUGAAAGUGUUGGAGAUAAUGAAACUUUGACACGAAGAUCAUCCAUCCCCAUCAUGAUGUGUGACAUCUUCCCAGAAGACUUCUUCAACUACUCAGUCAAGGCUCCUGGCUAUGAAGAUUGCGAGGAACAACUCUCCCAGAUCGCUUGACGAACCACCAAUGCUCCUUGUUCGCACGAGCCUAAACUGCAUGAACCAAAGCUCCUUGUCUGCACGAGCCUAAACU
rnacentral:lncRNA from 1 species